rnacentral:rRNA from 1 species
UCGCCCUUCAGGCCUAACACAUGCAAGUCGAACGGUAACAGGAAGAAGCUUCGCUUCUUUGCUGACGAGUGGCGGACGGGUGAGUAAUGUCUGGGAAACUGCCUGAUGGAGGGGGAUAACUACUGGAAACGGUAGCUAAUACCGCAUAACGUCGCAAGACCAAAGAGGGGGACCUUCGGGCCUCUUGCCAUCGGAUGUGCCCAGAUGGGAUUAGCUAGUAGGUGGGGUAACGGCUCACCUAGGCGACGAUCCCUAGCUGGUCUGAGAGGAUGACCAGCCACACUGGAACUGAGACACGGUCCAGACUCCUACGGGAGGCAGCAGUGGGGAAUAUUGCACAAUGGGCGCAAGCCUGAUGCAGCCAUGCCGCGUGUAUGAAGAAGGCCU